GAUACGUGGUGGAGGAUGGACCGAUGGACUGCCACGCGCCAAACUUGUCACCGUUUUCUGGCACUGCUGUCUCGCGUUCUGGUGAUUCUUCUCUACCGCGGUCCAUCAGCCACACUCGCUCCUUCGUGUAUUCCUCCUCAUUCACGUCCCCAGUCACGACGCCGUACGCGUAGACUCGACAGCUCACGCCGUAUUGCCCUCUUGAUGCUCGACAUCGCCAAGUCCAGCGCUCGCCUCUCUAGCUCGACUCAUCGGACCUGCCCUUUCUCAGCUUGCUGUCUCCCAGCCGUGUGCCAUGCCUCUGCUCGACAUCGACUAGCGUCGCUAGCCAUCGCGCCCACCUGCUGGUCGCCGAGUUUGCCGACGCUCGUCAGUGUCGCAUCCAACCUCGCAGAGCUCGACACCACCAAGAUCACGUUACUGGUGGAUCAAUCGCUUGGUGAAACAAUUUCCUGAAGGCUGGUCAUCACCCUGAAGACUUGUGAAAUUUUAUUUCCUCAGUCUUCGGCUCUUCUCUGCAACAAAGGUCUUAGUUUUGUGCUGCUGAUGGUGGUGUUAAGUGCCGGUGGGCUCAGCUUUUUUAUAAGUCUAAGUAACCCUUCUAUACUUCUUAUUGAGGAUGGUCUCUUGAGCUAGCAUAUAUUUCAAACUUAUACUUUUGUAAUCACUCCGAUGUAUAUAAUGUAAAAUUUUUGUAACUUGUAAAAAUUUGGUAAUAAGAUUUUCGCUGCAAAAAAAUUGAUGUGUGUGAUUUGCGUUA